rnacentral:lncRNA from 1 species
UUCAUUAUUUGUGCAGCCCUCAUAUGAAAUCAAAUGAGAUUCAGGCACGAUAAAACCCUAACCAACUCAUUACUUCUCCAACGCGACUCCAUCAAUCAUCACUGCUAACACUAUUAGAGACACAUGGACCCAUCGGUCACAAGUGAAGAAGCCUAUGGAAGUGUUCGUGAAUGGAAGGGGAUGAAGAGGAAGUGUGGCAUAGUUAAGGAAACAACAUGAGAUUAUUUUUCACAUAAAAAGAUACC